UUAUAGAUGCUUCUUAUAGUGAUGAGAAUAUCAUUAAAACUAACUAAAAUAGUGUUCAAAAGUCAUUUGAGAAGAUUUGGGUUGAUCACGUGUGAUUUCUUCCGAUGAGGUAGCAAUCAGGACUUUUGUCAUGGGUCUGCUGGUUGGAGGUAAAUGUCUUGAGAUGAGUUAUUUGAACUCUGUGUUCCUCAGCUUCCUGGCUGUAAAUGGAGACCAUGGAAGUAGGGAGAGAGAGCACAGGGCGAGUAUUUAUGGAAGGGGCAGGGAAGUAUUAAUGUCAUUGUGCAAGUCAUGAGUGAAGCUUCCUCUGCAAGGGGUGGUUCUUGAUACUUGGAUUCAGUAAAGCAGUUUCAAACUGGAGUAAAUGUGAAGAAAGGAGCUGGGAUGACCCAGGAAACAGCAUAACUUGGGAGAAGACUGACAGGACUGAGAAGGCCAUUUGGCCUUGGUGGCUGCAAUAACUGCUAAAGGCUGGACUCAUUUCUUUGGACACCUCUUUGCUAUUGUGCCACAAUUGUAAACAGAUAUGAACAUCUUUGAGGAGGGUGCCAGGGAAUCCACAGCAGAUAAAGCAGCUACAAAUCUGCAAGGAAAAAUACCCAACACCACCCCUUCCUCUGAGCAGGCUUCCUGCUUCAUCCUGCACCUGCCUCCUUGAAAGAAAACAAGACAUCAGAUACUUAUUCAAAUAAUGCAAUAGCUGAUCAGCAGAGUAUCUACACAAUGGUGUUGAGAUUUCAUCACACUGGAGGGCAGUGAGGCUCGGCUUCAAGCAGAUAAGGUGUUUUGGUGGAAAGACAGGCAAGCAUGCAAAUAAGUGGAAAGUGGGCUUAAGAGAUCAGAAAGGAUCCUGACUUCCUGUCCCCAAAAGACGUGCAAAUCAGUUUUUAAAGCUCAAGCAAUCCCUGAAAGCAUCAUUUCAGUUGUAUGGUGGGAUACAAAAAAUGCAAAUGCUAGCUGCUUUUUUGUCUAGGUGAAAUUAGUGAUGUUUCUCUGUUUCUCAAUGAUACAACUGCAGAAGGGAUGAGCAAUAUGCAAGCUUAGCCUCAUCUGAAAGUGACACAAAUAGCCAGAAGUUUUUCCUUUGUCUGCAGUGGCCUUUUAUCUGUACAUUUGUACUAUAUGGCAAAUUAUAUAGAAAUUAAAUAAUUCAUACAAAUGAAUGCAUAAUUAAAAGUUUAGAUGGUCUUUGGUACGUUAAUAGUUUAAGUGACAAUGUAAAUUGUGAGCCAGAUAUUCAACUGCAAUGUCAACACUUGAACCAUUUGCAAAUCUGAAAAUAUUUGAUGAAAGUACUUGUGACUAGCUUUGAAUAAUUUAUAGGUUCAUUACCUUCACAGUCUGUACACAAUAGUUCACUUAGAAAUAAAGGUGAAAUUCAUCAAAAA